rnacentral:rRNA from 1 species
GCUCCAAUAGCGUAUAUUAAAGUUGUUGCGGUUAAAAAGCUCGUAGUUGGAUUUCUGCCAAGGACGAUCGGUCCGCCUCUGGGUGAGCAUCUGGCUCGGCCUAGGCAUCAUCUUGGAGAGCGUCGCUGCACUUGAUUGUGUGGCACGGUAUCCAGGACAUUUACUUUGAGGAAAUUAGAGUGUUCACGGCAGGCAAUCGC